UUUAUAUAAAUUUAAUUAAAAAAAAAAAUUAUUUUAAAGUAUAUUUAAGAAAAAAAUUUUAUGAAUUAUAGAUAAUUAGUAUUGAGAAAGAAUUAUAUUAAAAUAAUAAAAGAAGAAUAAAUUUUGUACCUUGUGUAUCAGGGUUUAUUAAAUAAAAUAAAAAUUUUAUUUUCUCGAAUUUAAAAGAGUUAAAAUAGUAUAAUUUUAUUGUAAAAUAAAUAUUUAUAAUAUUAUUUUUGAAAUGAAACGUUAAUCGUUUUUAAUAUAUCUAGUUAUUUAAGAAAAAAGUUUAAUUUAAUUAAUAGGAAUAUAAAGUUUAUUUUUUAAUUUUAUAUUAUUAUUAUUUUAUUUAUAAAGGGAUAAGCUUUUAUAAAAAUUUUUAAAAAUAAAUAUAUGAAUUAUAUAAAAUAUAGGAUUAGUAGUUUCUAUUUUUAAAAUAAUGUUAUAAUUAAUUUUAUAUAAUUAUUAUUUAUAUUAAUUUUAAAUAUUUUAUUAAAUUAAAAAUUUAAAUUAUAAAAAUAUUGAAAUUAUGAUAAAAUUAGUAAAGAAUAAUGUGGAAUAAGUAUAUAAUAAAGGUUGAAUAAAGGAAUUCGGCAAAAAAAUUUUUCACCUGUUUAUUAAAAACAUGGCUUUUUGAUAAUAAUUUAAAGUCUGGCCUGCCCACUGAGUAGUUUAAAGGCCGCGGUAAAUUGACCGUGCUAAGGUAGCAUAAUCAUUAGUUUUUUAAUUGUAAGCUGGAAUGAAUGGUCGGAUGAGAAAAUAACUGUCUCUAUUUAAUUUAAAUUGAAUUUUAUUAUUAAGUAAAAAAGCUUAAAUGAUUUUAAAAGACGAGAAGACCCUGUAGAGUUUUAUAAAAUUUUAAAUUAGAAUUUUUAGUAUUAUGAUUUUUUAGUUUGAAUUUUUAUUUAGUUGGGGCGAUUGAAAAAUUUAGGAAACUUUUUUUUUAUUGUAUACAUAAAUUUAUGAAAAUUUGAUCCAUAAAUAAUGAUUAAAAGAUUAAAUUACCUUAGGGAUAACAGCGUAAUUUUUUUUGAGAGUUCAAAUCGAAAGAAAAGUUUGCGACCUCGAUGUUGGAUUAAAAUUAAUUUUUGGUGUAGAAGCUGAAAAAUUAGGUCUGUUCGACCUUUAAAAUUUUACAUGAUCUGAGUUUAAACCGGUGUGAGCCAGGUUGGUUUCUAUCUUUAAAUAAAUAAUAUAUUUUAGUACGAAAGGAUCAAAUAUGUAAUAAAUUAUUUAUUUAUGAAUAUUAAU
rnacentral:rRNA from 1 species